rnacentral:rRNA from 1 species
GGUUAAGUGACUAAGCGUACACGGUGGAUGCCUGGGCAGUCAGAGGCGAUGAAGGACGUACUAACUUGCGAUAAGCGCAGAUAAGGCAGUAAGAGCCGUUUGAGUCUGCGAUUUCCGAAUGGGGAAACCCAACUGCAUAAGCAGUUACUGUUAACUGAAUACAUAGGUUAACAGAGCAAACCGGGGGAACUGAAACAUCUAAGUACCCCGAGGAGAAGAAAUCAACCGAGAUUCCGGUAGUAGCGGCGAGCGAACCUGGAUUAGCCCUUAAGCACUCGGUGAAGUAGGUGAACAAGCUGGAAAGCUUGGCGAUACAGGGUGAUAGCCCCGUAACCGACGCUUCAUCGAGCGUGAAAUCGAGUAGGGCGGGACACGUGAUAUCCUGUCUGAAUAUGGGGGGACCAUCCUCCAAGGCUAAAUACUCCUGACUGACCGAUAGUGAACCAGUACCGUGAGGGAAAGGCGAAAAGAACCCCUGUGAGGGGAGUGAAAUAGAACCUGAAACCGUGUACGUACAAGCAGUAGGAGCACCUUCGUGGUGUGACUGCGUACCUUUUGUAUAAUGGGUCAGCGACUUAUAUUCAGUGGCAAGGUUAACCGUAUAGGGGAGCCGUAGCG